GGAAGUAAAAGUCGUACAAGGUUUCCGUAGGUGAACCUGCGGAAGGAUCAUUAAAAAUGAAGCCGGGAAACCGGUCCUUCUAACCCUUGAUUAUCUUAAUUUGUUGCUUUGGUGGGCCGCGCAAGCACCGGCUUCGGCUGGAUCGUGCCCACCAGAGGACACAACUCUGUAUCAAAUGUCGUCUGAGUACUAUAAAAUAGUUAAAACUUUCAACAACGGAUCUCUUGGUUCUG
rnacentral:misc_RNA from 1 species